GACGAACGCUGGCGGCGUGCUUAACACAUGCAAGUCGAACGGAAAGGCCCUGCUUUUGUGGGGUGCUCAAGUGGCGAACGGGUGAGUAACACGUGAGUAACCUGCCCUUGACUUUGGGAUAACUUCAGGAAACUGGGGCUAAUACCGGAUAGGAGCUCCUGCUGCAUGGUGGGGGUUGGAAAGCUUCGGCGGUUGGGGAUGGACUCGCGGCUUAUCAGCUUGUUGGUGGGGUAGUGGCUUACCAAGGCUUUGACGGGUAGCCGGCCUGAGAGGGUGACCGGCCACAUUGGGACUGAGAUACGGCCCAGACUCCUACGGGAGGCAGCAGUGGGGAAUAUUGCACAAUGGGCGGAAGCCUGAUGCAGCAACGCCGCGUGCGGGAUGACGGCCUUCGGGUUGUAAACCGCUUUCGCCUGUGACGAAGCGUGAGUGACGGUAAUGGGUAAAGAAGCACCGGCUAACUACGUGCCAGCCGCCGCAGUAAGAC
rnacentral:rRNA from 1 species